rnacentral:tRNA from 1 species
GCCCGGUUAGCUCAGUUUGUAGAGCAUCAGACUUUUAAUCUGAGGCCAUGGGUUCGAGGCCCAUAUCGGGCU